rnacentral:rRNA from 1 species
UACGUAGGCAGCGAGCGUUGUUCGGAGUUACUGGGCGUAAAGAGUGCGUAGGCGGUUUGCUAAGUCUGGUGUGAAAUCUCCCGGCUCAACUGGGAGGGUGCGCCGGAAACUAGCGGACUAGAGUGUGGGAGAGGCAAGCGGAAUUCCUGGUGUAGCGGUGAAAUGCGUAGAUAUCAGGAGGAACACCUGCGGUGUAGACGGCUUGCUGGACCACGACUGACGCUGAGGCACGAAAGCGUGGGGAGCAAACAGG